GAAUGGCGGGGCCAAAAAGUAAAAGGACUUUGCCUCUAACCGUUGUACUGGGUGCACGAAUCGGAACAUCACUAUAACAAUUAUUGAAAUUUACUAAGUGCAGUAUCGAAUUACACAAACAUAAAUUCUGUAAGCGCGCACGCACGCGCGCAUCAGGAUGAUAAUGGAGUCUGGGUCCUUGAAAACUGAAAUCGUACCCUCUGAAGAAAUCUGGUCAGCUUUCUUAGAUGGAAGGAGAAUCCCUCUCUAUACGAUAUGAGAAGGCACACUAUCCUUUUUCUACCAAUAAGAAUCAUUCCAACAUUCCCCUCCUUCGAAGAGUGUCCUUUGUGGGAGACUGGGAAAGAAGAGGAGGGGAUAAUGGCGGCGAUCUACCUGGACGAUUUUUGUGGCGGGAAUUAUGGUGCUUCAACAAGAUCUUACAACAGCGCUUCAGGACAAGAAACCACCUGCCGGGAAAUAGCAUCGGAAAUUUCACUACUGUUAACAUUAAGCAUCAAUAGUAAGCAUAAUAAAUAACACGAUGUUCUGAUUUUCAAUAAAUGCCAAUGACAAUAUUCUAAUCUCGUAAGAUUUUCUAUAUUUUUAUAAAAAAGAAAUAUGUUAGAAAUAAAAUAAAACAUUUUAAAGAAUAAAACUUAACUAUUGUAUAA